rnacentral:rRNA from 1 species
GUGAGGAAUUUUCCGCAAUGGGCGAAAGCCUGACGGAGCAAUGCCGCGAAGGAUGAAGGCCUAUGGGUUGUAAACUUCUUUUCUCAGAAAAGAAUUAUGACGGUAUCUGAGGAAUAAGCAUCGGCUAACUCUGUGCCAGCAGCCGCGGUAAGACAGAGGAUGCAAGCGUUAUCCGGAAUGAUUGGGCGUAAAGCGUCUGUAGGUUGUUUAAAAAGUAUUCUGUCAAAGAUUAGGGCUUAACCCUAGAUAGGCAGAAUAAACUUUUAAGCUAGAGUUUGGUAGAGGCAGAGGGAAUUCCCGGUGGAGCGGUGAAAUGCGUAGAUAUCGGGAGGAACACCAAAGGCGAAGGCACUCUGCUGGGCCAAUACUAACACUGAGAGACGAAAGCGAGGGGAGCAAAUGGGAUUAGAAACCCCGGUAGUCC